rnacentral:tRNA from 1 species
GCGGGUAUGGUGUAAUGGUAGCACAGCAGCCUUCCAAGCUUCUGGUAUCGGUUCGAAUCCGAUUACCCGCUCCA